AGGUAAAAUCCAAAUGCUGUAUAAAGGACUACAUAAUCAUCUUGAUGUGUCCUCCGUGUAUUUAUCUAAACUUGUGCCCCUGCAAUUACCCCGAGUUGGCUUAGAAUGUCCCACAGAACUCCAAGUCUUCGUCUCCCAUGGCCCCCCAUUGGCUUGUCAGGGACACACACACAUAUGGUUGUGAAGAUCUACUUCAGGUAAAAUAUUGGAGAUGUUCAGCCUGUCACACUUGUAUCAAAACAAAACAAUAAAAUGCAAAAAAUUA